rnacentral:rRNA from 1 species
GACAAACGCUAGCGGCGUGUAUUAGGCAUGCAAGUCGCACGGUCACCUCGCAAGAGGUGGCAGUGGCGGACGGGUGAGUAACACGUGGGUAACCUGCCUCGCAGUGGGGAAUAACUCGCCGAAAGGCGAGCUAAUACCGCAUACCACUUUCGGUGAGAAUCCGAGCAGUAAAAGUAGCAAUGCGCUGUGAGAGGGCCCGCGGCCGAUUAGCUUGUUGGUGGGGUAACGGCCACCAAGGCGACGAUCGGUAGCUGGUCUGAGAGGAUGGUCAGCCACACGGGGACUGAGAUACGGCCCCGACUCCUACGGGAGGCAGCAGCUAAGAAUCUUGCGCAAUGAGCGAAAGCUUGACGCAGCAACGCCGCGUGGAGGACGAAGGCCCUCGGUCGUAAACUCCUUUGUGAGGGAAGAAGAUCUGACGGUACCUCACGAAU